CAGUGUGUAACCAUGUUACAUUUUUCUACUAUUAAAGUUUUGUUUCAAAGAUAUACGUGAGCUGCUUACUUCACUGGAUGAGAAGACAAACUCUGCUAAAGAAGGAGAAGAUGGAAUAUCUUACACUGGGUAGAAGAUUGAUCCGAGUGAAAGGGGCCUUCCUCUCAUGCCCUCACGAUUUCUCUAAGCCAGUCCGUCACCCAUCUCUUGCCUUUGCAUUUGACUCAAUCCUCCACCAAUCAUCAGAUGGGAUGCUGUCCACUUGCCAACUUCCAUUUCCCCAGCGGAGGCAUCAUCUCAGCAAACUGUGCAAACCAAAGGAGAGAGAUGGAUAAGCUCCUUACACCCCUCUCCUGGAACAUUGCUUCUUGCGUUUAUAACUUAUUAAGAAGCGUUGACUUUUUUAUUAUUAGAAAUCCUCUCCAGCAAAAACUGGGGCAGUUUAAUAUAACCUCUAAGCCUGCCAAAGCCACAUGCAAUAAGUAAAAAGCAAGUUAUCCCCGGAUCUCCAGCUUGCUCACUUUACUUGCACUGAUUACUUAUUAAGUAUUCAUAGUGAGCUUGGCACUUGAAAGCUGGGGAAAGACAACACAACUCUUGCUUCCCCUAGUACAAUUUCAUCAUCCAAAGAGACAAGAAACCCAAACUGUACUGCACAACUCUGAGGAGGUCUGUAACCGGGCAGAUUUUCAUAAAUAUCACUCUUCUCUUGACUGUUAUGGCAACCACAUGUCUAGGGUUCUACACUGAGAAGGCAGCCUCCAUGAGAAGAAGCAGGCUCCCUGCUUCAGAUAACCACCCAGGCAUUUUGACAGCGAACUCAACAUUUGACAAUAUCUGGUCAGGAGCAGUAAGUAUUUGACAUAUAGCAAUCAACAUUUGACAGUAUCUGAUAGAUUGUAGCAGUCUCUCUAUUUAAUAGUAUUAAAGAG